AACAAGGCGUACCUGCGGACCUGCGGAGGGAUCAUUAACGAGUUAGGGUCGUUCUGGCCCGAACUUCCAACCCCUUGUUUAUCACACCAUGUUGCUUUGGUAGGCCCGCUCUCUUAGGGGGGCCGCCGGAGGUUAUCCUACCUCUAGCCCGUGCCUGCCAGUAGCCUUAUUAAAUUCUUUUUAACUGUGUCGUCUGAGUGGUAUUUUCAAAUCAUUUAAAACUUUCAGCAAUGGAUCUCA
rnacentral:misc_RNA from 1 species